rnacentral:rRNA from 1 species
GGUGAACGCUGGCGGCGUGCUUAAGACAUGCAAGUCGAACGGCAGUCUUCGGACUGUAGUGGCGCACGGGUGAGUAACGCGUAACUGACCUACCCCAAAGUCGCGGAUAACGAUUCGAAAGAAUCGCUAAUACGUGAUGUGCUGUCAGAUUGUGUUCUGCCAGUAAAGAUUGAUUGCUUUGGGAUGGGGUUGCGUUCCAUUAGCUAGUUGGGGGGGUAAAGGCCCACCAAGGCGACGACGGAUAGCCGGCCUGAGAGGGUGGCCGGCCACAGGGGCACUGGGACACGGGUCCCACUCCUACGGGAGGCAGCAGUUAGGAAUCUUCCACAAUGGGCGAAAGCCUGAUGGAGCGACGCCGCGUGAGGGAUGAAGGUCUUCGGAUCGUAAACCUCUGAAUCAGGGACGAAAGACACUUCGGUGGGAUGACGGUACCUGAGUAAUAGCACCGGCUAACUCCGUGCCAGCAGCCGCGGUAAAAC